UGUAAUUUUUAAUAGUUUUUCAACAGACAUAUUUUCGCAUGAUGGACUCGACAUGUACCCUUUACCCUUUGACCCAGGCUGCACGUGCUGCUGGUAAAACCGACAUGAACAUCAAACGGGUGAUGGACACGUGGACCAAUCAAAUGGGGUAUCCUGUCGUCACGGUAACGAGACAGAACAGUAAACUCAUCCUGGAGCAGGAGCGCUUCCUACUGAUGCCCCCCUCCCCCGCUUGUGGAGGGGUGGUGGAGCUAGUUUACCUCCCCAUACAGGUAUGAAUGGAUCAUCCCCCUAACGUUAAUGUCACAUCAGCCUUUCCAGAGGGCCAACAGACUCUAUUCUUGGACACCAGACAUACUACAAUUUCUCUGGACAACAACUCGCCAGAGUGGGUCAAGUUCAACACCAACCAAACAGGCUUCUACCGGGUGAACUAUGACCCCGAGAACUGGGACGCUCUCAUUGGUCUGCUGCAGGAAAAUCAUGAG